rnacentral:tRNA from 2 species
GGGCUUGUGGUUUAGUGGUAUAAUACUCCCUUAGCACGUGAUUAUCCCACGAUAGUCUCUUGUAAAACUGGGAGUGGUCCGGGGUUCGAUUCCCCGCGAGUCCA